rnacentral:rRNA from 1 species
GCAUAACGCGAAGAACCUUACCUACUCUUGACAUCCAGCGAACUUAGCAGAGAUGCUUUGGUGCCUUCGGGAACGCUGAGACAGGUGCUGCAUGGCUGUCGUCAGCUCGUGUUGUGAAAUGUUGGGUUAAGUCCCGCAACGAGCGCAACCCUUAUCCUUUGUUGCCAGCGGUCCGGCCGGGAACUCAAAGGAGACUGCCAGUGAUAAACUGGAGGAAGGUGGGGAUGACGUCAAGUCAUCAUGGCCCUUACGAGUAGGGCUACACACGUGCUACAAUGGCGCAUACAAAGAGAAGCGACCUCGCGAGAGCAAGCGGACCUCAUAAAGUGCGUCGUAGUCCGGAUUGGAGUCUGCAACUCGACUCCAUGAAGUCGGAAUCGCUAGUAAUCGUAGAUCAGAAUGCUACGGUGAAUACGUUCCCGGGUCUUGUACACACCG